UACGUAGGGUGCAAGCGUUAAUCGGAAUUACUGGGCGUAAGGCGUGCGCAGGCGGUUGUGCAAGACCGAUGUGAAAUCCCCGGGCUUAACCUGGGAAUGGCAUUGGUGACUGCACGGCUAGAGUGUGUCAGAGGGGGGUAGAAUUCCACGUGUAGCAGUGAAAUGCGUAGAGAUGUGGAGGAAUACCGAUGGCGAAGGCAGCCCCCUGGGAUAACACUGACGCUCAUGCACGAAAGCGUGGGGAGCAAACAGG
rnacentral:rRNA from 1 species